GACGAACGCUGGCGGCGUGGAUUAGGCAUGCAAGUCGAACGGUAUCAUCAUUUCGGGGGUGAGAGAGUGGCGAACUGGUGAGUAACACGUAGGUUAUCUACCCUCAAGACGGGGACAACCCAGGGAAACUUGGGCUAAUACCGGAUGUGAGCAACUUUUAGUUGUUUGAAAGGUGGCGUAAGCUGUCGCUUGGGGAUGAGCCUGCGUCCUAUUAGUUAGUUGGUGAGGUAACGGCUCACCUAGGCAAUGAUAGGUAGGCGGCCUUAACGGGUGGUCGCCCACACUGGGAUUGAGAUACGGCCCAGACUCCUACGGGAGGCAGCAGUCGAGAAUAGUCUACAAUGGUCGGAAGACUGAUAGUGCGACGCCGCGUGAACGAUGAAUCCCUUCGGGGUGUAAAGUUCUUUUAUAUGUGAGCAGUGCUUCUUAUAUUAACAGUAUGGGGAGAGAGAUAUUAGCAUAUGAAUAAGCAACGGCUAACUCCGUGCCAGCAGCCGCGGUAA
rnacentral:rRNA from 1 species